AGUGGCGGACGGGUGAGUAACGCGUGGGUAACCUGCCUUAUACAGGGGGAUAACAGUUGGAAACGACUGCUAAUACCGCAUAAGCGCACAGUGCCGCAUGGCACAGUGUGAAAAACUCCGGUGGUAUAAGAUGGACCCGCGUCUGAUUAGCUAGUUGGUGAGGUAACGGCUCACCAAGGCGACGAUCAGUAGCCGGCUUGAGAGAGUGAUCGGCCACAUUGGGACUGAGACACGGCCCAAACUCCUACGGGAGGCAGCAGUGGGGAAUAUUGCACAAUGGGGGAAACCCUGAUGCAGCAACGCCGCGUGAGUGAAGAAGUAUUUCGGUAUGUAAAGCUCUAUCAGCAGGGAAGAUAAUGACGGUACCUGACUAAGAAGCCCCGGCUAACUACGUGCCAGCAGCCGCGGUAAUACGUAGGGGGCAAGCGUUAUCCGGAUUUACUGGGUGUAGAGGGAGCGUAGGCGGCUUGGCAAGUCUGAUGUGAAAGCCCAGGGCUCAACCCUGGGACUGCAUUGGAAACUGUCAGGCUAGAGUGCAGGAGAGGUAAGUGGAAUUCCUAGUGUAGCGGUGAAAUGCGUAGAUAUUAGGAGGAACACCAGUGGCGAAGGCGGCCUACUGGACUGUAACUGACGCUGAGGCUCGAAAGCGUGGGGAGCAAACAGGAUUAGAUACCCUGGUAGUCCACGCUGUAAACGAUGAAUACUAGGUGU
rnacentral:rRNA from 1 species